GGUUAAGAAUGCAUAGAGACAGAAUGGUGUCCAUGAGCAGCAAUUAUGUCAUAGGAACUCAAGUUGUGUAACACUUCACACUUGAACAAAAUACUUCGCAAGGAGAACACGGUGACCUUAUUUGACAGGAGCCAUUAAAGAGGAUAUGCUUGAGUAUGAAGAAAAAGAGAAUACCGAAAUACUGUUUCAGUAUUCCUGAUCUCUGAGGACUAAGCACUGGGAGCAC
rnacentral:lncRNA from 1 species